UACGUAGGGUGCAAGCGUUAUCCGGAAUCAUUGGGUUUAAAGGGUCCGUAGGCGGUUUAAUAAGUCAGUGGUGAAAGCCCAUCGCUCAACGGUGGAACGGCCAUUGAUACUGUUAGACUUGAAUUAUUAGGAAGUAACUAGAAUAUGUAGUGUAGCGGUGAAAUGCUUAGAGAUUACAUGGAAUACCAAUUGCGAAGGCAGGUUGCUACCAAUACAUUGACGCUGAUGGGACGAAAAGCGUUGGG
rnacentral:rRNA from 1 species